AUACCUUUCUCUGGCUUUUGGCUAAGAUCAAGUGUAGUAUCUUUUCUUAUCAGUUUAAUAUCUGAUAUGUGAGCCAUCGGCUCAGACGAUAUUAAAUUGAUUUUUUUCAUGGGGGAGUUUCCAUCACAGUAGCUUGCUCCCGGGGUUCUCAAGUGUCGCCUUUGCGUUGCACCAUUGCAAAGGCCUGGCGCACCCCCA